UGGCGGCAGGCCUAACACAUGCAAGUCGAGCGGUAGCACAGAGAGCUUGCUCUCGGGUGACGAGCGGCGGACGGGUGAGUAAUGUCUGGGAAACUGCCUGAUGGAGGGGGAUAACUACUGGAAACGGUAGCUAAUACCGCAUAACGUCGCAAGACCAAAGUGGGGGACCUUCGGGCCUCAUGCCAUCAGAUGUGCCCAGAUGGGAUUAGCUAGUAGGUGGGGUAACGGCUCACCUAGGCGACGAUCCCUAGCUGGUCUGAGAGGAUGACCAGCCACACUGGAACUGAGACACGGUCCAGACUCCUACGGGAGGCAGCAGUGGGGAAUAUUGCACAAUGGGCGCAAGCCUGAUGCAGCCAUGCCGCGUGUGUGAAGAAGGCCUUCGGGUUGUAAAGCACUUUCAGCGGGGAGGAAGGCGGUGAGGUUAAUAACCUCAUCGAUUGACGUUACCCGCAGAAGAAGCACCGGCUAACUCCGUGCCAGCAGCCGCGGUAAUACGGAGGGUGCAAGCGUUAAUCGGAAUUACUGGGCGUAAAGCGCACGCAGGCGGUCUGUCAAGUCGGGAUGGGAAAUCCCCGGGGCUCAACCUGGGAACUGCAUUCGAAACUGGCAGGCUAGAGUCUUGUAGAGGGGGGUAGAAUUCCAGGUGUAGCGGUGAAAUGCGUAGAGAUCUGGAGGAAUACCGGUGGCGAAGGCGGCCCCCUGGACAAAGACUGACGCUCAGGUGCGAAAGCGUGGGGAGCAAACAGGAUUAGAUACCCUGGUAGUCCACGCCGUAAACGAUGUCGAUUUGGAGGUUGUGCCCUUGAGGCGUGGCUUCCGGAGCUAACGCGUUAAAUCGACCGCCUGGGGAGUACGGCCGCAAGGUUAAAACUCAAAUGAAUUGACGGGGGCCCGCACAAGCGGUGGAGCAUGUGGUUUAAUUCGAUGCAACGCGAAGAACCUUACCUGGUCUUGACAUCCACAGAACUUUCCAGAGAUGGAUUGGUGCCUUCGGGAACUGUGAGACAGGUGCUGCAUGGCUGUCGUCAGCUCGUGUUGUGAAAUGUUGGGUUAAGUCCCGCAACGAGCGCAACCCUUAUCCUUUGUUGCCAGCGGUUAGGCCGGGAACUCAAAGGAGACUGCCAGUGAUAAACUGGAGGAAGGUGGGGAUGACGUCAAGUCAUCAUGGCCCUUACGACCAGGGCUACACACGUGCUACAAUGGCAUAUACAAAGAGAAGCGACCUCGCGAGAGCAAGCGGACCUCAUAAAGUAUGUCGUAGUCCGGAUUGGAGUCUGCAACUCGACUCCAUGAAGUCGGAAUCGCUAGUAAUCGUAGAUCAGAAUGCUACGGUGAAUACGUUCCCGGGCCUUGUACACACCGCCCGUCACACCAUGGGAGUGGGUUGCAAAAGAAGUAGGUAGCUUAACCUUCGGGAGGGCGCUUACCACUUUGUGAUUCAUGACUG
rnacentral:rRNA from 1 species